rnacentral:rRNA from 1 species
UGCAGUCGAGCGGACAGAAGGGAGCUUGCUCCCGGAUGUUAGCGGCGGACGGGUGAGUAACACGUGGGUAACCUGCCUGUAAGACUGGGAUAACUCCGGGAAACCGGAGCUAAUACCGGAUAGUUCCUUGAACCGCAUGGUUCAAGGAUGAAAGACGGUUUCGGCUGUCACUUACAGAUGGACCCGCGGCGCAUUAGCUAGUUGGUGAGGUAACGGCUCACCAAGGCGACGAUGCGUAGCCGACCUGAGAGGGUGAUCGGCCACACUGGGACUGAGACACGGCCCAGACUCCUACGGGAGGCAGCAGUAGGGAAUCUUCCGCAAUGGACGAAAGUCUGACGGAGCAACGCCGCGUGAGUGAUGAAGGUUUUCGGAUCGUAAAGCUCUGUUGUUAGGGAAGAACAAGUGCAAGAGUAACUGCUUGCACCUUGACGGUACCUAACCAGAAAGCCACGGCUAACUACGUGCCAGCAGCCGCGGUAAUACGUAGGUGGCAAGCGUUGUCCGGAAUUAUUGGGCGUAAAGGGCUCGCAGGCGGUUUCUUAAGUCUGAUGUGAAAGCCCCCGGCUCAACCGGGGAGGGUCAUUGGAAACUGGGAAACUUGAGUGCAGAAGAGGAGAGUGAAUUCCACGUGUAGCGGUGAAAUGCGUAGAGAUGUG